UUUUGAUUCCAUCUCCACUGAGGCUGCUAACUGGAUCCACAUCCUGAAAACAAGGUACAGAGACCAUCUAAAGCUGUUCUCACAAUACAAGUGGCUAAGGAUUCAACUUGGGAGCCCAGCCCAGAAACAGACAGACAGAGGCCCAGAACAUCUGGAGGACAGACAGUCUUUACAGGCUGUGGCUGUGGUCUGGGUGCACUUGAGUAUGUUUCCCUCUCUCAUCAAAGGGGCUUCCUGCAGACCUGGGCUGAGUACUGUGUCCUGGAUACGACAGGCUCACAGAAUGGGGGUUGGAGGAAGGUUGGAAAAGCCGGUAAGCCAAACAGGUCAGAAGAGAUGCUUGGGGAGGGGGAAGGCGGGUGCAGACUGUCCACAGGCAUUCCCGGAGCUAGCUAAGGAGGUGGUUGGAGGGAUGGGUUCUCCAGAAGAGCUUUGUAAAACGAGGGCUCCGCUUUGGGUGAUGCUCAAUGGUUCUCAGCCUCCCAAAUGCUGUGACCCUUUAAUACAGUUCUUCAUGUUGUGGUGACCCCCAACCAUAAAAUUAUCUUUGUGGCUACUCCAUGACUGUAAUUUUGUUACUAUAGGAAUCGUAAUGUAAAUAUCUGUGUUUUCCAAUGGGCUUGGGCGACCCAUGAGAAAGGGUUGUUAGACACCCCCUUGAGGGGUCACGACCCACAGGUUAAGAACCGCUGCUCUCCAGCGUUGUUCCUUGAGCAGUAUCCAAGGACCAAUCAGCUGGUGCCAGCUGCACUGUAAACCACUCCCAGUAGUGAGGGCUCUAAAGGACACCCCUCCACCACUACCCACACCUACUCACCAGAAAGCAAAACUAGCCGGCUUGAGUCACAUGUUCUGGUCACAAGAAAGUCCUACCAGAAGAGGCUCUGGGCAAAGGAGGCCUUCUCUGCCCUUCCUUUCUUCUGCUUGAAUCCUUAGCGGACAGCAGGAACUGACUCGGUAGAGGGAGGUCACAAGUGAGUCCAGGCCCAGGACAGAGCAUGGCCUUCCCUCUGCACCCUUCCUUGACAACCACCAGCUGCUGCUACCUGCUGGACUGGGAUGAAAGUGAUCACCCACCAUGUGUCUGGAGGGGGCGGCCAGAGCUGGGAUUCAGAGGGAUACACGCUGUGACAUUGAGACAAACAAGCUGCCGGUCAUAGAUUAGGUCCAUGAGUCCUGCUUCUGAAAAACCCCAACAACCUAGAACACAGCGGAACUGGAACAGGUGGAGUGUGCCUUCCUUAUCCUCAGGACGGAGGAGGCUGAUGAGCGCCCCCUGCUGGCUGAAGGGAGCAGCUCCCAGGCCUGGGCUGUCCCAUUGGAGCCCAGCUGCUUCAGCUUUACCAGGUAACAUGAGGAUAAGCAGCAGAGCCCGCCCCCAAGCGGGGGUGGAACUGAAUGUGACAUGAGGAGCCAAACAAGGACUUGAAGCUAACUGGGAUGUUCUGACAUUCUGAACUCGGAGGUGGGGAGAACGGAAUGAUUGACAGCUUCGUCACAGAGCUUCGAGCAGAGAUGAAGCAGGACACUCAGAGGCUGGGUGCUGCUGAACGGAGAAGGCUCAAAACGGGACAGCCCACGAACAAUGUGCUCAGAUGAGAACCCAGGGUAUUCUGAGUCCCUCUGAUACAGUGACUUGAGGGUCACUGUAAGCAGUGUCAGCCACUCUGUCCUGGGGUGUUUAGAGGUGGCCUCUCUCCCUGCCUUCCCUUCUAACCCCAGCAGGGAGUGUGAGUCGGAAGAUGGUUCACCUAUGGUAGUGAAGCAAGCCUUAGGCUCAAGCACCAAUCUUGAUAGAAUAGCCGGCUGGCUUCAUGAAAGCCGGUAGUCCCUGGCCUCUGUGUAGGUGGCACAGUGAGCGCCCAUCUCCAGUCCUUGCAUUUUGACUCACUGCUUCCUCAUAGCCACUGUCAGUCUCAUCUUAUAGAUGGGGGAAUAAGGUUCAGAGAGGGUAAAUAACUUUUCCAAGGCCAGCCAGCGGGAAAGCUACAACACUGGACUGCUGGUUGGCAUCCUUGUCUGGGAGACUCCACGCCCGCACUUCUCUCUGACCGCUCACUUUCAACUGAAUCAAGACCUACGCCAAAGUAUCCGACGGGCCUGCAGGGGGCAGUGGAGCCAGCUAGCAUUUGAGAGUUGACAGUUUUUAGGCUUAGCCACGAUCCUGGAAAAUGUUGAAGAACAUUGGGUGUUUCCCAAUCAUCUUCUGAAAAAGUACCCAAAAUCCCAAGCAAAUAAACAAACCACAAAGACAUGCCAAUGGGUGGUUACAGUUAGGCUGCCUGGAUUCUGGGUUUUAUCUAACCCUCUCAAAAUCUACCUUCCCUAAGGCAAGCAAGCCCUCCUGGAAGACAAGGGCCACCUCUGACAUCUUCCUCUCCAGGUUUGAGUCUUGGCAUAUAGUAAGUGAACCCAGUAACACAUGAAAGUGUUUUGGAGAGGACUAAGGGCUUUUCCACAGUUGGGCAAAUCUCCUAAUAGGUCCUACUUUCCCACCCAAAAGGGGCCAGACCCAAGCCCAGACAGACAUGGAAGGAAUAUUGUGGCAGCUGUCGGCUGUUUGGAGGCCUUGGAUCUUGGUACUGGCUCUGGCUGUGACUGUCAUUGGUGAGGAGGGUUCAAAUGGCUUGUGGUUUGGAUGUGACAUGUUCCCUCCCCGGCUCAUAUGAAAUAACUUGGUCCUCAGCUGUUGGCAUUAAUAGGGAUGAUUGGCAUAUAGGGCCACUAAUUUUAUCAAUGGGUUAGCUCUCUAGUGAGUUCCAACCUGAGUGGGCUACUCAGAGGAAGGGCCUAGAUGGAGGAAGUGGGUCACUGUGGGGUAUGCCUCCAAACUGUAGAACUUGUUCCUGGUUUCUGUGUCGUCUCUGUUUCUGUCUCUGUCUCUGUGUCUCUGUCUCUGUCUCCUGUCUGUGUCUGUCUCCUCUCUCUCUGUGUCUCUCUCUGUCUCCUCUCUCUGUCUCUGUCUCUCUCUCUGUCUCCUUUCUCUCUGUCUCCUCUCUCUGUCUCUGUCUCACUCUGUCUCUCUCUGUCUCCUCUCUCUAUCUUCUCUCUCUGUCUCUGCCAUGCUUUGUCUCCUCUCUCUGUCUUCUUUCUCGGUCUCUGUCUUCUCUCUCUGUCUUUCUCUAUCUCUGUCUUCUCUCUGUCUGUCUCCUCUCUCUCUUUCCCUCUCUCUCUGUCUUUGUCUUUCUCUGUCUCCUGUUUCUGUCUCUCUUCUCCCCUCUCUCCUCUCUUCCUCCUUUACUGCCAAGGCAAGCAGACCCUAGGUUUAAUCCUCAAUACUGCACUCCACUAUAUCCCUAAAAAGGGAAACUAAAAAUCAACAGUCAAUAAACCAUGGGAACUGAGCCACACAUGAUAACUCGUUCUUAUGCUUAUAUAGUACUUGUGCUCAGGUUAUUUAUCUCAGUAAUGAAACAGUAACACAGAGGGAGAACUUUUAGGUGUCUGCCCAGGAGCUUUUCUGUCUGAGGUAGGGGUUCUGAAAAAGGAGAAAAAUUUGAGGCAAGCCUUCCUCCUUAUUCAACCACAAGGUCCUGGGCCAGCCUCCAUCCGACACAGCCAGGACUGGAGCCAAACAAUGCCCAGACCUGUGCUGAGCUCCGAUUGGCCUGCUCUGCUUGGAUCAGCUGGAUUGUGUGGACUGUGGUCUCCUCACCUGUGGUGGGGCCUUAAGAAACCCCAGGAUUGCCUUAGGAGUUGGGGACACCUUCCGAGUCAGUGAGACAAAGCUUUGAAGCUGGCUCCACUCUCUACUGUAGCCUCCCUCGUCCAGCUGCAGCACAGUCCCUGAGCCUCAUUUUAUUUACUGUGAGAAAGGCAUGGAGAUGUCCGAUCCAUAUCCUAGAGUCCCAGAAUGAUGGCAGCCCAUGUGAACCAGGAAAAGCUCUCAGAGAACUGUACCUGCUGCUCUGGUGACUGCCACCAUCACCCUUGUCAUGACGGAAUACCAAGAGCAUGGUCUUGAGAACACGGUGGUUAAUGAACUUGUCUCUCUGAUGGAUGCUUUUGGUGUCUAUGGCCAGGUACUUAUAAUAGGGCCCUGGCUGGAGGACACCAUAGAAAAUAAGUGUGGCCCAAAGGAAGAAGACCUGAUCUCCAUCCUUGCAAAGGAUUUGAUCCACUCACCUCUCCAGUGGUGGGUCAGCUUGACACAGUUUAGAAUCGCCUGUGAAGAGAGCUAAUGAAGAAUUGUCUGAAUUGGGUUGGCCUGUGGGCAUGUCUGUAGGAGAUUGUCUUGAUUACAUUAAUUGAUGUGGGAAGACCCAGCCCACUGUGGGAGGCACCAUCCCCUAGGCUUGGGUCCAGGACUGUGUAAGAGUGGAGACAGUGAGCUGACUGCAAAUGUACAUUCAUUCUCUCUCUGCUCUUGAUUGUGGAUGUGGCUAGCUGCCUCAAGGUCCUGCAACCUAGACUUUCCUGUAACAAAGGGCUAUGGAAUUAUGAGCCAAAUAAACCGUUUUCUUCCUA